GACAGACCGUCGCUGCGGGCGAAGGGCGCCACGCUCUUCUUCCGGGGAGGAAAGUCCGGGCUCCACAGGGCAGGACGCUGGGCAAUACCCAGGGGGGGCGACCCUCGGACAGCGCCACAGAAAGCAAACCGCCACGUUGUGCGUGGUAAGGGUGAAACGGUGGGGCAAGAGCCCACCAGAUGCCGUGGUGACGCGGCAUGCUCGGCAUACCCCGUCCGGAGCAAGACCAAAUAGGGAAGGAGGCCGGCCCGGCCCAUGCCUUCCGGGUAGGUUGCUUGAGGGCGUGAGCAAUCACGCUCCUAGAGGAAUGACGGUCACUGCGUCCGCGCAGGACAGAACCCGGCUUAUCGUCCGGCUC
rnacentral:RNase_P_RNA from 1 species